UAGUCCACGCCGUAAACGAUGUCUACUAGGUGGUGGAAGUUCUGACACUUUCACGGCCGGAGCAAAAGUAUUAAGUAGACCGCCUGGGGAGUACGGUCGCAAGGCUAAAACUCAAAUGAAUUGACGGGGCUCACACAAGCGGUGGAGCAUGUGGAUUAAUUCGAAGCAACGCGCAGAACCUUACUUGGGUUUGACAUGUUUGGAUGCCCUUUAGGAAACUAGAGUAGGCUGCUCUUCGGAGUGAAACUUACACAGGUGCUGCAUGGCUGUCGUCAGCUCGUGUCGUGAGAUGUCGGGUUAAGUCCUUUAACGAGCGAAACCCUUACCGUUAGUUGCCAGCGAGUAAUGUCGGGGACUCUAGCGGGACUGCCGGUGUUAAACCGGAGGAAGGUGGGGAUGACGUCAAGUCCUCAUGGGCCUUUAUGCCCAGGGGCUUCACACGUGCUACAAUGGGGAUGGGACAAAGCGACGCAAGACCGCGAGGGUGGG
rnacentral:rRNA from 1 species